CUGCGAAUGGCUCAUUAUAUAAGUUAUCGUUUAUUUGAUAGUACCUUACUACUUGGAUAACCGUGGUAAUUCUAGAGCUAAUACAUGCUAAAAAUCCCGACUUCGGAAGGGAUGUAUUUAUUAGAUUAAAAACCAAUGCCCUCUGGGCUCCUUGGUGAUUCAUAAUAACUUUUCGAAUCGCAUGGCCUUGCGCCGGCGAUGGUUCAUUCAAAUUUCUUCCCUAUCAACUUUCGAUGUUUGGGUAUUGGCCAAACAUGGUCGCAACGGGUAACGGAGGGUUAGGGCUCGACCCCGGAGAAGGAGCCUGAGAAACGGCUACUACAUCCAAGGAAGGCAGCAGGCGCGCAAAUUACCCAAUCCCGAUUCGGGGAGGUAGUGACAAUAAAUACUGAUACAGGGCUCUUUUGGGUCUUGUAAUUGGAAUGAGUACAAUUUAAAUCCCUUAACGAGGAACAAUUGGAGGGCAAGUCUGGUGCCAGCAGCCGCGGUGAUUCCAGCUCCAAUAGCGUAUAUUAAAGUUGUUGUGGUUAAAAAGCUCGUAGUUGAACCUUGGGCCUGGCUGGCCGGUCCGCCUCACCGCGUGUACUGGUCCGGCCGGGCCUUUCCCUCUGUGGAACCUCAUGCCCUUCACUGGGUGUGGCGGGGAAACAGGACUUUUACUUUGAAAAAAUUAGAGUGCUCCAGGCAGGCCUAUGCUCGAAUACAUUAGCAUGGAAUAAUAAAAUAGGACGCGUGGUUCUAUUUUGUUGGUUUCUAGGACCGCCGUAAUGAUUAAUAGGGACAGUCGGGGGCAUCAGUAUUCAAUUGUCAGAGGUGAAAUUCUUGGAUUUAUUGAAGACUAACUACUGCGAAAGCAUUUGCCAAGGAUGUUUUCAUUAAUCAGGAACGAAAGUUAGGGGAUCGAAGACGAUCAGAUACCGUCGUAGUCUUAACCAUAAACUAUGCCGACUAGGGAUCGGACGAUGUUAUUUUUUGACGCGUUCGGCACCUUACGAGAAAUCAAAGUGC
rnacentral:rRNA from 1 species